CCCAGACUCCUACGGGAGGCAGCAGUGGGGAAUAUUGCACAAUGGGGGAAACCCUGAUGCAGCGACGCCGCGUGAGUGAAGAAGUAUUUCGGUAUGUAAAGCUCUAUCAGCAGGGAAGAAAAUGACGGUACCUGAUUAAGAAGCCCCGGCUAACUACGUGCCAGCAGCCGCGGUAAUACGUAGGGGGCAAGCGUUAUCCGGAUUUACUGGGUGUAAAGGGAGCGUAGACGGCAGCACAAGUCUGGAGUGAAAUGCCGGGGCUUAACCCCGGAACUGCUUUGGAAACUGGCGCGCUUGAGUGCGGGAGGGGUAAGCGGAAUUCCUAGUGUAGCGGUGAAAUGCGUAGAUAUUAGGAGGAACACCGGUGGCGAAGGCGGCUUACUGGACCGUAACUGACGUUGAGGCUCGAAAGCGUGGGGAGCAAACAGGAUUAGAUACCCUAGUAA
rnacentral:rRNA from 1 species